CAGACAAAAGUGAAGUUUUAAUCUAGUUCUUACAAUUCCAGAGCUAAUGUCCAUUCCAAUCCCUUUAAUGGAAGAAAAUUGGAAAUGGGGGAAUGGAUUUGUAGGUGUCCCCUUUAAUAAUGGGGAGGGGGUGUUGGUCAGUAAAUUUUGGCUUUUGGAAUAGCUAAUUCCUAGAAGCUGAGAAAUAUAGUUGACAUGUGAGUCCCUUGCUUCCAACCUAUCAAUCCAUAUCUCAACUAUGAAUCAGAAUAAAAAAGGCCAGAAACAAUAAAUUAUUGGUAAAGAGUCAAAUCCUCAGGCUAGCCCAGCGUACAGGAUAAAAAGCAAACAUCUUUUCUGUCCCCCAUCCUCACCCACUAUUAAGCCUCUGGUAUCAAAGAGAUCUUUUUUUCCCUCAUAGUAAAGUCCUUUGGGGAAAGAGCCCUUCUUAUAUCCAAGUCAAUUUCUGCUUUCUCUUAAAAUAACUUCUUAUUCUGACCAUGAGCAAAAAAUACAUUUCUGUACAAGAGCACAACAAAAAUAGGAUUCUGUGUAAAAUCUUGAAUCCUCAUUCCAUACUCUUUUUUUUUUUUUUAAGUAUAGAACAAAAACUGCCUUUUUCUAUGUUUCUUUCUGAAGUUCCUUCUGUUCUCUUCUGGGCAUUUAAGAACAUUGCAGUAACCCUCUUUUGAAUCACAUCAUUAUUAGUAACCUUUUUUUCUUAUUCCCCCCCCCCCUUCAAUAAAAAGAAGAAAAAAGGGGGAUUGAACCUCUGUAAAAUAAACUUCAUCAAGUAAAACAAAUUCACACAGUAGCCAAGGGCAGAAUUAUAUGCUUCUGUACUUUGUAUCCAUCACUUUAUCAGAAUCUAGGUCUGAAUCCUUGUUCUGCUAUUUACUACCAGUGUAACCUCAGGAAAGUUUUAAUUCCAUAAACCUGUUACUUCAUGUAGACCUCACCUCCUUAAACCGUGGUUUGUAAUUUCCUCGUGUUUUCAUGAAUGUGGGAGUCACAAAAUUAUGAAAUCAGUAAAUAUUUGAUUUGUAUGUCAUUUUUAUAUGCCCAUAUACCCAGGAUCAUGUAAAAAUUUCUUGGGCAAAAAGAGGUCAAGAGUGGGAAAAGUUUUAAGAAGCCCCGAUCUAUAUAAUGAAGGAACAAUUCUAAGUUGACAGUUUUAGAUAACAUGGCGCACCUGGAUCCAUUCCUGAGUCUUUCCUCUUUUAUCUACACACCAAUAACCUCCUCUGGCCAAGAUACCUCCAGCCUUGCAGCCCUUCUUCUAAUGGGGGGCGGGGGAGGGCACUAUUUCAUCAAGAUCCUGGUGUUAUUCAGUCAUUUCAUUCAUGUUCAACUCUUUGUGACCCCAUUUGGAGUCACAAAGAUACUGAAAUAAUUUGCCAUUUCCAGCUCAUUUUACAGAUAAGGAGACUGAGGCAAACAGGGUUAAAUAACUUGCUAAAAAGUAUUUUAGGCCAGAUUUGAAUGUGAGAAGAUUAAUCUUAACUCUAGACUGCUGUAGACAGCAACACCAUCCUCCCCAUCUCUUAGGGUCAAAACCUAGGAGCCAUCCUCGAUUCUUCACUCUCUCUCUUCUCCCUUUCCCCAUAUCCAAGCAUUGUCAGGACCUACUGAUUGCAUUUUUGCAGCAUCUCUCCAAUCAGCUUCUUCUCCUGACAUUGCCAGCACUGUCAUAAAGGCCCUUGUUAUCUUCUUAUGGCAAUGGCCUGCUGAAGGUUGUGCUUGCCUUAAGAUUCCCACCAUUCCAAUCCAUCCUCCAGUCAUCAGAGUCAUUUUCCUAAAACCCAAGUAUGUACGUGUUACUCCACCAGGGGCUAUCUAUUACCUCCAAGAGCAAAUGCAAAAUGCUCUUUUGGGUGUUCAAAAUCCUUAGUAACCUCUCCCUCCCCCCAAUCUUUCCAGUCUUCUUACACUUUAUUCCCUGACACAUACUCUUUGGUCCAGUGAUCCUUGCAACCUGGCUCCUCCAAACAAGAUACUUCAUUUCUAGGUAGCCUAACUUCUAUUCCUUCUUUGAAGAGACUACUGAGGUGAAGUGUCUCAUACACUGACAACUUCAAUAAUUGUGUUGAUUAGUUUUGUUGAAUUGAUUUUCUUCUCCCUUCCCUUUCUGUUUUUAAAUUUGCAGUUAAAAGGGAGAGGAAAUAAAUAUAGUAGAAAAUGAAAGUGUUAUUAAAAAAUUUCAAUAAAAGUUAGAAACUAUAUAUUGCACUCUCAUCAUGCCCCCUUUUUGUCAGCUUCUUUAAUGACCCAUGAUGUCAAUUCUUUUUUUUAAUUAAAUUUAAUUAAAGCUUUUUAUUUUCAAAAUAAUUUGGAUGAGCAUUUUGUAAAUAAAUGGACUAUUUUCAACAUUUACCCUUACAAAAUCUAAUUUUUCCCCUCUCUUACCCCCACCUCUUUCCCUAGACACCAAGUAAUCCGAUAUAUGUUAAACAUGAGCAAUUCUUCUAUACAUAUUUCCACACUUAUCAUCGUACACAAGAAAAAUCAGAUCAAAAAGGGGAAAAAAAUGAGAAUGAGAAUGUAAAAAAACAACAAAAAGUGAAAAUCCUAUGUUGUGGUCUACACUCAGUCCCCACAAUCCUCUUUCUAGGUGCAGAUGUCUCUCUUCAUCACAAGACCACUGGAAUUGGCCCACAUCACAUGAUGUCAAUUCUUUAUUUUUUGCUGAGGCAAUUGGAGUUAAGUGACUUGCCCAGGAUCACACAGCCAGGACGUGUUAAGAGUCUGAGACCAGAUUUGAACUCAGAUCCUCCUGAUCAGGGCCACUCUACCCAGACAUAUGUGGAAAUACACCUAACCUAUGUGGACAAAACAACACACGCCACUACCUCUUCUACAAAUAUUUUUUAAAAGAUUUUUUGUUUGUGCCAGCCUAUGAAAAUAUUAUAAAAGUUGAAUCUGAAACACUCCUGGACACAAGCUUAUUUUUCUUGUCACAAGUGUGGACACCUAAUUCUUUGCCUGGAAGGAGAGGAUGCUGAUAAUAAAGACAAUUUUCUGGAUUCUCUCCUCAGCCUGCUGAUCCAGAAGUGCUAGGAAUUUUCCAGAAGAAGAAACACAAAGGAAAAAAAAAAGCCAGUUCCCUGAUCAGCGAAUGAUUAAAUAAGGGAAACUUAUUUCUGCUUAAAAUCUGCUUAAAAAUGGAGUAUCCACAAAUAACUAUGCAUUUAAAUAUUUGCUGACCAGAGGCCAGGUUAGCAAUUUUGAGGUUAGUGUCCAGGGGUCUCUGGAAGUUAGUCCAGUGGAAUAGUACAAGACUGCAAAUCAGGAGACCUAUUAUUUACUAGCCCUUGCGAGCUUGGGUUAGAGAUAACUAAUUAAUAACUUCAUGCCUCUGAGUUUCUAGGUUCUCAUUUCUAAUAUGAUGAUAAUAAUAUCUCCCUUUGCCUACCUCCAAAAUUGUAGGGAAGAUCACAUGAAGUAAUGAGUGCAUUGUUAGAUGAUUUUAGGUAUACGUGGCAAAACGAGCUGUAUAGCAGGAAAUAACCUGAAGAGGGGGAACAAGGUGUGCAGAGGAGGAAAACAGGAAGGCAGUAGUGAAAGGUUGUUUACCCCAAGAUUAAUGAUUUUGUUAUUGAGUAGCCUGUACCGUGAUGGGGUAAAGACAAAGAAAUCUGGGUAUGAGAUGAUGUAAUGAGAUGGUAUAUAAGAAGGAAUGUAACUGCUAGAAGCCACGACUUCAUUAGAGAGCACAUGUAGAGUGCUUAAUAAACGCUUUCCAUGCUUGACAA